rnacentral:rRNA from 1 species
ACUCCUGCGGGAGGCAGCAGUGGGGAAUAUUGCACAAUGGGCGCAAGCCUGAUGCAGCGACGCCGCGUGGGGGAUGAAGGCCUUCGGGUUGUAAACUCCUUUCGCUAGGGACGAAGCUUUUUUGUGACGGUACCUAGAUAAGAAGCACCGGCUAACUACGUGCCAGCAGCCGCGGUAAUACGUAGGGUGCGAGCGUUGUCCGGAAUUACUGGGCGUAAAGGGCUCGUAGGUGGUUUGUCGCGUCGUCUGUGAAAUUCUGGGGCUUAACUCCGGGCGUGCAGGCGAUACGGGCAUAACUUGAGUGCUGUAGGGGUAACUGGAAUUCCUGGUGUAGCGGUGAAAUGCGCAGAUAUCAGGAGGAACACCGAUGGCGAAGGCAGGUUACUGGGCAGUUACUGACGCUGAGGAGCGAAAGCAUGGGUAGCGAACAGGAUUAGAAACCCCUGUAGUCCC